AACGCACAUUGCGCCCUCUGGUAUUCCGGGGGGCAUGCCUGUUCGAGCCUCAAUGAAAACUCUCCUCCAAUGCUGGCGUCUUCCAGCACAUGGAGGGUCCUGGUGGAUGCCCACACCCUGAACCGUGUGCGCACCGCUCAAAUUCGAUGUCUGCGAGCCUGAGGAUUGCGGCCGACGUAGUGAGAUUCAAUCUCGUUGGCUGUCAAACCUGACAGAGGCAACGGGACCUUAAGCGCUAUGGCGCCAACAUCAAGACGGUUGAGCUCGGAUCAGGUAGGGAUACCCGCUGAACUUAA
rnacentral:misc_RNA from 1 species